rnacentral:rRNA from 1 species
CCUACGGGUGGCUGCAGUGGGGAAUAUUGGACAAUGGGGGGAACCCUGAUCCAGCCAUGCCGCGUGUGUGAAGAAGGCCCUCGGGUUGUAAAGCACUUUCAGUCAGGAAGAACGCCUGGUGGUUAAUACCCAUCAGGAAAGACAUCACUCACAGAAGAAGCACCGGCUAACUCCGUGCCAGCAGCCGCGGUAAUACGGAGGGUGCGAGCGUUAAUCGGAAUUACUGGGCGUAAAGCGCGCGUAGGUGGCUUGAUAAGCCGGUUGUGAAAGCCCCGGGCUCAACCUGGGAACGGCAUCCGGAACUGUCAAGCUAGAGUGCAGGAGAGGAAGGUAGAAUUCCCGGUGUAGCGGUGAAAUGCGUAGAGAUCGGGAGGAAUACCAGUGGCGAAGGCGGCCUUCUGGACUGACACUGACACUGAGGUGCGAAAGCGUGGGUAGCAAACAGGAUUAGAUACCCGUGUAGUC